ensembl:snRNA U6 U6 spliceosomal RNA
GUGCUUGCUUUGGCAGCACAUACACUAAAAUUGGAAUGAUACAGAGAAGAUUAGCAUGGCCCUUGUGCAAGGAUGACAUGCAAAUUCGUGAAGCGUUCCAUAUAUUU